UUCUUCUUCUUCUUCUUCUUCUUUUUCGUUCUUCUUUCUUCUUGUCUUUCCUUCUUCUCUGUUUCUUUUCUGCCGAUAAUUGUAAGUCGUGCAUGAGGAUUUAUCGAGUAAGAUCAAUUAGUGAAGAGGUACAAUUGAGGAUAGAGAUGGUGUUGUUGUCUGUUGCUGAUUUAAAACCAAAGGAGACAGUAGAUCAGUGAGUUAGGGCUUUCUGUUGAUGGGUUCAGGUUUGAUAUGAGAUAACAAUUGAAGAUGGGUUUCGAGAGCUUCAGUAGAAGAAGGAAGUUGUUGGGUCAAUUUGAAGAUUAAGUUUCGUAGAAGAAGAGUAAUUUUUAAUUAGGUCUGCAUGUUGUAUUGGAGUUCGGUUUGAGUAAGGAUUAAGAAGAAUUAGACGGAAUUAACAGAUGGGUUUGUUCUUAAUUGAUUGAAGUUGUAGAGUUGUUUGAGGAUUGGAUCAGUGAAUUAGGGUUUUUGAACAGAACAUGUAUUUAGAGUUCAUGGGUUUGAAAGUUAGCUGAAGAAGAUGAAAUCGACGUUUCAGGGUUUUGAUGAAAUCAAGGUUGAAGAUUAAGAGGGUGAUGGUGUUAUUAUUAUUGUUGGAUCAAACUCAGGAAGAAUGGAAAGGUAACUUAAUUUAAGGUAUCUUAUAUUUGAUUUUGUUUUGGAAUUCAUGGAAUAAUUGAUUAGAGUAUAUCAAUUGGAUUAAUGGGUAUGAGUAGGUUGUUCCUGUAAUUAGGAUUUGGUAUUGUUUUGAUUUACAGGGUCUCUGUGAAUUUAAUUGGGAAUGGAAUUUAUAAAUAAGGAUGUUGGGAUAAGUGAAGUGUAUUGGAGUUGAGAUGUUAUUAUUGUUGCUGAGGCUGGUGGUGGUGGUAUUGAUUUGAUAUUAGGUUCAUAUAUGGAAUUGCAGUUGAAACAUGGAACUAGUGGUGAUAGUAAAUUGAGAAUGAAUAUACAUAUCUGGAGUUGGUGUUGUUAUUGUUUGUUAGAGUUUAGAUGUUGCUGCUGUGACAGUAAAGUCACAAUUGUUGUGACCCAGAGAGGUUGAACUGGAUGGGCUGUGGUGGUUCUGGUAUUAUGGGUUGUUAGAGGUGGUUUGUUGAACUGAGAAUACAAUAGUGGUUAGGUUUGCAGUAAUGAACUGAACUGAACUUGGUAGUGAUAUUGUAAUGGUGGUGAUGUAGUAUGCAAGGAAGAAACCUGAAAUUAUUUAUGAUGUUAUGAAAUGUGCAGUGGUGUUUUAACUCAUUGUGUUGUGAUGAAUUUCAGUGGUAGCUAGUGAAAGAGUUUACAAACUGUACUGAACCUGUAAUGUACAGGAAAGGGGUUCAACAUGGGAUUAAAAUGGAGUUAGUGGUAUUGAAUUGAAAUAGAUUAAAGCAGUCCAUUAUUUGGCUGCAUUUGAUAGAAUAUGAAUGUGCAGGUGGACUUUAGUAAGUAUAAUGGUUUUACUGUUGAGGGUGAAGUUGUAUUGUGAUAUGAAUUAGUGGUCAUGGUAAUGAGAGAGAAUGAGUUCAGUUGAAGUGGUGGGGUUUUAAGUUGGAGUUAAGAGUGAAGUGUAUUGCUGAUUCAGUUGGGUACGGGUGUGUGUGGAGUUAGAAGAGUGGAAAAUAUGUGGGAGUGGUGAUUGUAGAAUCACAGUUGGUAGUUGUAGAAAGAGAAAAAGCUUGGAACUGCAUUUUGCAGUUAGUCUAUUUAACAACGAUCGAUUCAAAGGAUGACCCAGUGGAUCGUGGAUCUCGAGGUAGGCAUGGCUUGUCAUCAAAAGAGGUGUUUUGGAGUCACUGGAGCAAAAGGAGGGGAAUAUCGCUCAAAUAUCGUAUCUCUACUCAUCAUGUUGAAGUGAACGAAAGGAGGAAGCCACCGGUGAAAAAAAUGACGCGACUACGACGUCAUACAAGAAAGUUAUGGGUGAAAGCAUUGAUGAAGCUUGUCAGUUCCUUGAAACUGACAGGCCAUAUAUGAACUGGGUGGCCCUUAUCGACUGCACCUGAGUGGCUAUAUCCAUUUGUAUUCUCCUACAGAAGACCUAAAAAUCAGAGAAGGAUUUCUCAAAUCAUUUACAUUUAUAUUUAUUCCUCUCCACCUGAAACUGAGAGAAGGCGGCCAUGGAGAUCGACAGAGAGAUUGAGUGAUUGUUGGAAGAAUUACAGAAAAGGAACAAGAGAAGAUGAAUCUAAUGGGACAAGGUCGCUGCCAUGGAUUUGCAGGAUGGGUUUCUCUUGAUUUCAAGGAAGAGGUAUGGAAGAAGAGCCGGAUCUGUCGCUGCCAUGGAUUUGCAGUAAUAAAAGGAGGAGAUCCAUGUGACUCAGGGAAGAAGAAGAUGCAGAAAUUAAGCUCGUGGAAUGAACAGUGGUUGUGUUGGUUAGAAGCUCGAAAUGGAAAAGGAAUUUUGGGGUUUCGGCUGAGAAUCGAAAUUGGGUUUACUGAAGAUCUCAUGGAAGAGAUAUGUGGGAUACAUGUGUUAUUGGUUUCUAGAGUUGCAGUAGAGCUCAAUUAGUCUGCUGCUGAGCUGAGUAUACAAGAAGCAGAGAAGAAACUGAUGUUGUGUUGGAGGAUAAGGAGGACUCAGAGAUGAUGUUGCUGCCAUCAGUUCAUAGUAAUGGAAGGUGCAGGUUAAGGUGUUGAUUGCAGGUGGUGUUGCUGUAAAUUAUGGAUUGAAGUGCGGGUUGUGAUAGUGGUUUGAUGAAGCUGAAAUGGAAUUGUAUGGAUGAAAUGUGAUGAGAUUAGAGAAUGGGUUGUCGAAUCUGGGGUGAAUUUGGGAAGACUUGUUACUGAGAUGGAGAUGAUGAUUUGUGAGAAGUUGUGAUUCAGUUGGUGGAAGAAAGAAGAAUCUGUAGCUGAGAAAUGGCUCUGGUGUUAGUUGCAGUUGCAGUUACAAGCAAUGGCAGAUGGAAGAAGAUGGUGGUUGUUCUCUGUAGAUGUAUGUUAGGACAGGUUCAUUACAGGUGUAGCUGGUUAAGCCAUGGAGUUUGUUAGCUGCUUGAGAAGGUCUGAAUUGCUUGAGUUUGUCAGAAAUUGGAGUUGGGCUUGAAGCAAUUGCAGGUGAUGCUCAAAUCUGAUAAUAGUCUGGUGUCGUGCGAGGUUGUGAAGUUUCAAAUGGAGAAGGAUGUUGCAGGAACGGUUGAGUGCACACAAGGAUUUAGAGCAAUGGCAGUUCGAACGAGAAUGCAGUUGAAAUGGCUCUGGGGUUGGCUGUAGUUUACGUUGCAACUGAGUUGGUGGUGAUGUUAACAAUGGUGCAGGACAAGACUGAACUGUCGAGGUUAUUAUUGGUUCUCUAUGAAGAAUGGCUUGAACUGAUAGACAAGGAAAUGAUCUUGCAGGCAGAUGAAGCUGUGCAGUUCAGUUGGUGUUGCUGCUGCUGUAGCUGGGAGAGCAAGUGGUGACAGAAAUGUAUGGAUUUGAGAAUGGGUCAAGAUGAUUGCAGUUGCAGCUGAAUAUAUGAAGUUGCAGCUGCAGUUAAAGCCGAGAUGGCGCUGGUAUGUGCAAGAAAUUGCAGAAGGAAACAUUGUUGGUGCUAGAGUGGGGUGACCUGAACUGAAUGCAAGCAGUGACUGGAGCAACAGAAUGGUUAUGCCCUGGUACAGAUGAAGCUAGCCAUGUCUUGGUACUCGAAUAGCUUGUCAGUUUCACAAAACUGACAGGAUAUAAAGUAAUGGACCUGUAGGGUUAUGUUUUAAAUGGGCUCUGAUAUGUGGGCUUGUCUUUGUAGCGGAAGCAACAAUUCCUAUGCGAUUGGAGAUGGCUGAGAUUGAGAAACCGAAAAAGGGAGGAUAGUAUAAAAAGAAAAACUUGUAUCUCUCUAUAGGGAUCUGAUCUUUACUUCUACUUUUGUUCUAGGUUUUGUGAACAUGAUAGAUUUAUUUCUUCUUUGGAUGAACUCCAUGAACAUAAGCUAGAUUAUUAUUAUUGGUUAUGGAAUAAUUGGAUUUCACGUGA